GGACGAACGCUGGCGGCGUGCUUAACACAUGCAAGUCGAACGGAGAGGCCCUGCUUUUGUGGGGUGCUCGAGUGGCGAACGGGUGAGUAACCCGUGAGUAACCUGCCCUUGACUUUGGGAUAACUUCAGGAAACUGGGGCUAAUACCGGAUAGGAGCUCCUGCUGCAUGGUGGGGGUUGGAAAGUUUCGGCGGUUGGGGAUGGACUCGCGGCUUAUCAGCUUGUUGGUGGGGUAGUGGCUUACCAAGGCUUUGACGGGUAGCCGGCCUGAGAGGGUGACCGGCCACAUUGGGACUGAGAUACGGCCCAGACUCCUACGGGAGGCAGCAGUGGGGAAUAUUGCACAAUGGGCGGAAGCCUGAUGCAGCAACGCCGCGUGCGGGAUGACGGCCUUCGGGUUGUAAACCGCUUUCGCCUGUGACGAAGCGUGAGUGACGGUAAUGGGUAAAGAAGCACCGGCUAACUACGUG
rnacentral:rRNA from 1 species